rnacentral:lncRNA from 1 species
CUUGCUUCAUAUUUGUAUAUAGUCAUUUUUUAUCUGAUCUUUAUGCCUUAACAACUCCCAAGCACUAUUGGUUAUUAAUUUUUCAUAGGUUGUAGGCAUUCACCAAGGGCUUCCCCAAUUACCCUGUAAAGUCUCAAUUUGAAUCUCCUCCUUGAUGUACUCUAUAAUAUCUUCUGGGAACACAUGUUGUAGGGUGUGCUCCUUUAUAUCUUCCUUCUUCAAUCAAUUCUGUAACAUCUUCCACUGUUUCAUCAAUGGGAAAAUCAGUGGAUACUACAUCAUAUAGUGCUCCCAGCUUAGAUCAAUUUUCAUACCAAACAUUUGUAGAUCUACUUUUAAUUUCCCACCAUAUUUCAUGCUCUACUUUCUCUCUUUCUU